rnacentral:rRNA from 1 species
GUAAGGAAUAUUGGUCAAUGGACGAGAGUCUGAACCAGCCAAGUCGCGUGAAGGAAGACGGUUCUAUGAAUUGUAAACUUCUUUUGUGCAGGAAUAAAGUGGGUUACGUGUAACCUUUUGUAUGUACUGUACGAAUAAGGAUCGGCUAACUCCGUGCCAGCAGCCGCGGUAAUACGGAGGAUCCGAGCGUUAUCCGGAUUUAUUGGGUUUAAAGGGUGCGUAGGUGGAUUGAUAAGUCAGCGGUGAAAGUUUGCAGCUUAACUGUAAAAUUGCCGUUGAAACUGUCGGUCUUGAGUGCAAAUGAGGUAGGCGGAAUGUGUUGUGUAGCGGUGAAAUGCUUAGAUAUAACACAGAACUCCGAUUGCGAAGGCAGCUUACUGGGAUGCAACUGACACUGAUGCACGAAAGCGUGGGUAUCAAACAGGAUUAGAAACCCCGGUAGUCC